CCUGAGAGAGUUGUGACACUUUGAACUCGCCGACAGCCGCUGCUCACGUGUUUCCUGGAGCCUCAAGAUCUCCAAACAUCUCAGCUGUGAUUCAGUCUGAGCGGCUGCUGGACGGCAGAAAUCUACUCGUUUCUCUUUUCCCUCCCAGUUACUGGGUUCAGGACGGAGGGCUGAGGCUUGGUAACAGCCUGGGGAACUGGCCUGGGUCACAAACGGGUCGUCAGAGCAGAUCCAAGGGACAGGGGAAGGUUCGUAGUGGUGAAAACCUUCCAGGCGGAGGUCCAGUCAUAAGAAGCUCGGUAGAUAUCCUACAAGGCCAGGCGAGGCAGGCCCGAAGUCCAGGGGAGCUGGAAGAGAAGCAGGAGGGCGGCGGUCAGCGACCUGCUGAGGGAAACCUGGGAUAAUCAGACCAGACGAGUAGAGAUCAGAUACAACAGGUUCAUCAUUGUCAUGUUUUCUGUUUUCUGUCCACAGGAGAUGUUUCCAAAGUUCACCAAAGCCAUCGUGGAAAAGCUGAGUGCUAACCUGAUCAGCAACGAUGACCUGAACAGGAACUGGGAGCUUCUGACUCUGGUCAAGAUUAGAAAGAAGAACCUCUUCACUUACUUUGAUUCCCGAGCAAAAUACCAGCCGCUGGCGCUGAAGCUGAGCAGCAUAGUCGAUGCAGACCUGGACCUGGAGACAGAAACUAAGAUGCUGGUGAAGGAUUUCCAAAGUUUUAGCUGCCUGGAUGGAGCCGUGGAAGUAGGAGGAGGAAGUGGCGACG